CAUUGUCGACGCGUUGAGAGAACGAAGAGAAUCGGUGACCCGACCGUAGAGUGGCCUGGCGGGGCAGUUGUUGCCUCUGCCUGGCCCCUCUCCCCUUGCGCUCGUCUUUCCCGCCUCCCCCCUGCUCGCGGCGGGGUGGCGGGUCGGGAAAGCACGGGCCUUCAACGAACCCUCGACGCGGGCCGCGUCAAGGACCACCUGAUCUGACCAUUACAGGGCGCGACCCUAGCUUUGCCUCGCCUCCGUGCGAUGCGCAUGCUGCUUCGCGUCUCUGUCGGAAAAAUAUUACGAUGACUCUCGGCAACGGAUAUCUAGGCUCUCGCAUCGAUGAAGAACGUAGCGAAAUGCGAUACUUGGUGUGAAUUGCAGAAUCCCGUGAACCAUCGAGUCUUUGAACGCAAGUUGCGCCCGGAGCCGUCAGGCCGAGGGCACGUCUGCCUGGGCGUCGCACGUACCUCCGCUCCCCUUCCCGCAUCUUCCCGGAUGCGCGGUACGGUGAGUUGGAUAUUGGCCAUCCGUGUGUUGGAGUCACGGUUGGCUCGACGUCUUCAUGCAUGCGCGUUCGCAUCACGACGGGUGGUGAUCGUCCAUGAGAUGCCCGUGUACGUCGUGAUCGCCGCGCUGCAUGUUUCCCAUUGGUCGCCCGGCGCUGUGGAGGCACGUUCAGGUGCCCCUCCGAACCGUACGGACCCCAGUCAGC
rnacentral:rRNA from 1 species